UACGUAGGGUGCGAGCGUUGUUCGGAAUUACUGGGCGUAAAGGGCGCGUAGGCGGUCUUGUAAGUCUCGUGUGAAAUCCCUCGGCUUAACUGAGGAACUGCACGAGAUACUGCAAGACUUGAGAUCGGGAGAGGGAAGCGGAAUUCCGGGUGUAGCGGUGAAAUGCGUAGAUAUCCGGAGGAACACCGGUGGCGAAGGCGGCUUCCUGGACCGAUACUGACGCUGAGGCGCGAAAGCUAGGGGAGCAAACGGG
rnacentral:rRNA from 1 species